UACGGGGGGGGCAAGCGUUGUUCGGAAUUACUGGGCGUAAAGGGCUCGUAGGUGGCCAACUAAGUCGGACGUGAAAUCCCCAGGCUCAACUUGGGAACUGCGUCUGAUACUGGAAGGCUUGAGUAUGGGAGAGGGAUGUAGAAUUCCAGGUGUAGCGGUGAAAUGCGUAGAUAUCUGGAGGAAUACCGGUGGCGAAGGCGGCAUCCUGGACCAUUACUGACGCUGAGGCGCGAAAGCUAGGGGAGCAAACGGG
rnacentral:rRNA from 1 species